GCGUUAACGAACGAGACCUCGACCUGCUAAAUAGACCCAGCAACUUUUCGGAGUUGACUUGGAGCUUCUCUUCUGUUUUGGUCCCUUGAUUCUUUUUUUUAAAAAGGGUUUAGUGGGUCAAGGCAGAGGGGUCUCCGCUUGGGCUUUACCGCCUUUGGGGCGCUUCUUAGAGGGACUAUCGGUGUAUCCUAGCCGAUGGAAGUUCGAGGCAAUAACAGGUCUGUGAUGCCCUUAGAUGUUCUGGGCCGCACGCGCGCUACACUGACGCAUUCAUCAAGCUUUUUUUCACCUUGGCCGAGAGGUCCGGGUAAUCUUUAGCAAAGUGCGUCGUGCUGGGGAUAGAUCAUUGUAAUUAUUGAUCUUCAACGAGGAAUUCCUAGUAAACGCAAGUCAUCAGCUUGCAUUGAUUACGUCCCUGCCCUUUGUACACACCGCCCGUCGCUAAUACCGAUUGAAUGGAUC
rnacentral:rRNA from 1 species